UUGUACUUAUACACUGCAUCUGAACAGGGAACAGUCUGCCACAUUAAUGUAUUUUUAAGUGACUUGUUUGUAAUACAUGAAUUUGUUUUUUACAGAUGUCAAAGUCUCAACCUCAUGCUGCCCUCCCCCAUCCUCCUAAACCUGUGGAUACAAAUGCAGAUUUCCUUAAUGUUCAAUGGUGCGUGUUCUUCUAAUGGCCGCCUUCCCACUGGAGGUUUUGAUCCACAGCAAUUUAAAAGGAGGACAGAGCAAAACGGACAUCGGCGCAGAGUGAAGAACUGCCCUUGAUAAGGACACUAUGACAGCCAUAUAUAGUAAGUGAAGACUUUCUGUGUAUCUAAAAUUGCAUACAGCACAAGUAACUUACUUUGCAACCAUUAAAAUAGGUUGUAAAGUAAGUUACCAAUACAAAUAGGUGAUGAUGCAUUGUAGUGGUUGGUCUCAGACAAAGAAGGUCAACAGAUUUAUGAAUGCUGGAAGGUAAGGAGAGACGACCAAAAGGGGUGUUAGCAUUACUGUAAUGUGAACUGGAUAGACUUCCCAUCUAGGAAAAAAAAGAGGUAAAAUUAUGCGUAAAAUAUAUCUGUAUUAAUAUCUGUAUCUAUAUAAACAGAAAUAUCUGUUUGCUAAAUGAAGCCAGCUAACAUAAAUCACAUUUUUAUUUUAACUCUGAUAAAAGUAAUAGAACUGUGACUUUUGUUUGUUACAGUGGCGGUAAGGAAGGGGUUUCCCAGCGUGUCCAGAAGGGCUUUGAGGAUUGCCGUGAAAGCUGGGGGAACUGAGACUGCUGGAAAAGGAAAAGAAAUUACAUUUUAAGUAUGCUGACUUAUGUUCAU